rnacentral:misc_RNA from 1 species
GAUGAAGAACGCAGCGAAAUGCGAUACUUGGUGUGAAUUGCAGAAUCCCGUGAACCAUCGAGUCUUUGAACGCAAGUUGCGCCCGAAGCCAUUAGGCCGAGGGCACGCUUGCCUGGGCGUCACACGUCGUUGCCCCCCCAUCUACUCCUUCGGGAUUGCGGGGGGUGGAUGAUGGCCUCCCGUGCGCCUCGCCGCGCGGUUGGCAUAAAUGCCAAGUCCUCGGCGACGCACGCCACGACAAUCGGUGGUUGCGAAACCUCGGUUGCCCGUCGUGUGCGGUCGUCGCGCAUCGAGGGCUCGAAAAAAUUGCCGGGUUCCGGCUCGGCUUUCAACGCGACCCCAGGUCAGGCGGGGUUACCCGCUGAAUUUAAGCAUAUCAAUAAGCGGAGGA